CAGAGUUGCAAAACUCCCCAACCAUUGUGAACCUACCUCACCGUUGCUUCGGCGGUGGCCCCGGGGCAACCCGGAGCCGCGCCGGCCCCGCUCUUGGGCCCGGCAACCCGUCAGAAGACCGAAACUCUUCGUAAUCAGUGGCCUCUCUGAGUAACUUAUACUAAUAAGUCA
rnacentral:misc_RNA from 1 species